CUCACCAAGGCGAAGACGGGUAGCUGGUCUGAGAGGAUGAUCAGCACACUGGAACUGAGACACGGUCCAGACUCCUACGGGAGGCAGCAGUGGGGAAUAUUGCGCAAUGGGCGAAAGCCUGACGCAGCCACGCCGCGUGAGCGAUGAAGGCCUUCGGGUCGUAAAGCUCUGUGGGGAGAGAAGAAUAAAGCCUGUGAAGAGCGGGCCUUGACGGUAUCUCCUUAGCAAGCACCGGCUAACUCCGUGCCAGCAGCCGCGGUAAUACGGAGGGUGCAAACGUUGCUCGGAAUCAUUGGGCGUAAAGCGCACGUAGGCGGCGAAGCAAGUCGGGUGUGAAAGCCCUGGGCUCAACCCAGGAAGUGCAUUCGAAACUAUUUCGCUUGAAUCUCGGAGGGGGUCAGAGAAUUCCCGGUGUAGAGGUGAAAUUCGUAGAUAUCGGGAGGAAUACCAGUGGCG
rnacentral:rRNA from 1 species